CGCGGCGGCGCUCGUCGCGGGGGAGACGCGGCGGCUCGGGCGGCUGGUCGAGCACCUGAUCGAGAUCAGCCGGUUCGACGCCGGCGCCGCGGC
rnacentral:tRNA from 1 species